GGGGAGCACACCUGAGCCUGAGACAACAGCUCUGCUAAGUGCCCUUGAGAGGGCACGGUGGGGUCAGCACCAAAGCCAGACCACUAAAGAGAAAAAGAGAGAAAGACAGGAUUGCAGAGGAGAAAUGAGAAUGGCAGAAAAAAUAAUUUUUUAAGCCAAAAGGAAUCAGAGAAGAGCAGAAGUGCCUCUAGGAUAAAGCGUAGCAGGCAGUUAGGGAAAAAGGGCUGUUAACUACCUUGAAGCUCUGACUACAUUAGAAAGCCUCGCAAGACAGUCGUUGCUUGCACGGGCAGGCGUGGUUGGCAAUAAGGAUGGGUGGGAGAGAAAAAAAAACAGAAUUUGAGGAGGAGAGCAUUUAAACCAUCAGACUGUGUGUUCUGUGACAUCAAAGACUGGCAACAUUCUAAAGGAAAAGCAGCUGUGAAGUCAUAAUUAUGUUCACUUCCCACUGGCAACUGGCAAGCCCUUUAUUUUUGUGCAUUCGGAACUCACCAAGAAUAAAUAAAGUCCAUUCCCUCCUUGAGGGGCUAUUCUGCCAUUCCAUCUAGGAUUUAAAAGUUUGCCAAUUCCUAAAACAUCUAUUGUUAUAAAUAGUCUUGUGUCUUUCACAAAGCGGACUUUACAAAAUAAGAUGCCAUGUCCAGCCAAAUAAAUGAGACUGAACUUCAUGGUUGUUGUUUUUACUUCAUCCCGGCAAAAGAAAUGAAAUUAAAUAUAAAAAGCAGAUGACCAAAUAAAGUCCAAAUGAAUGAA